rnacentral:rRNA from 1 species
UACGAAGGGGGCUAGCGUUGUUCGGAAUUACUGGGCGUAAAGCGCAUGUAGGCGGAUAUUUAAGUCAGGGGUGAAAUCCCGCAGCUCAACUGCGGAACUGCCUUUGAUACUGGGUAUCUUGAGUAUGGAAGAGGUGAGUGGAAUUCCGAGUGUAGAGGUGAAAUUCGUAGAUAUUCGGAGGAACACCAGUGGCGAAGGCGGCUCACUGGUGCAUUACUGACGCUGAGGUGCGAAAGCGUGGGGAGCAAACAGG